rnacentral:rRNA from 1 species
GGGCCCGCACAAGCGGUGGAGCAUGUGGUUUAAUUCGACGCAACGCGAAGAACCUUACCAGCCCUUGACAUUGCUAAGUCGCGAGUCUUAGAGAUAAGACUCUUCAGUUCGGCUGGACUUAGUACAGGUGCUGCAUGGCUGUCGUCAGCUCGUGUCGUGAGAUGUUGGGUUAAGUCCCGCAACGAGCGCAACCCUUGUCCUUAGUUGCCAUCAAUUCGGUUGGGCACUCUAGGGAGACUGCCGGUGAUAAACCGGAGGAAGGCGGGGAUGACGUCAAGUCCUCAUGGCCCUUAUGGGCUGGGCUACACACGUGCUACAAUGGCGUCUACAACGGGUCGCGAUAGGGUAACCUAGAGCUAAUCCCCAAAGGACGUCUCAGUUCGGAUUGUACUCUGCAACUCGAGUACAUGAAGUUGGAAUCGCUAGUAAUCG